rnacentral:rRNA from 1 species
AACGAACGCUGGCGGCAGGCUUAACACAUGCAAGUCGAACGCCCCGCCAGGGGUUUGGCGCUCGGCUGAGUAACGCGUGGAUAUUAGCCUGUUGGUUCGGAAUACCCCCGGGCGACUGGGGCUAGUACCGGAUGGUUCAUACGGGGUAAAGAUUUAUCGCCAAAAGGUGAGUCCGCGUACGAUUAGCUAGUUGGUGAGGUAAUGGCUCUCCAAGGCGACGAUCGUUAGCUGGUCUGAGAGGACGAACAGCCACACUGGGACUGAGACACGACCCAGACUCCUGCGAGAGGCGGCAGUGAGUAAUAUUGGACAAUGGGCGCAACCCUGAGCCAGCCAGGCCGCGUGAGUGAUGAAGGCCUUCGGGUCUUAAAGCUCUUUUGGCGAAGACUUUUAUGACGGUACCCGCAGAAUAAGCCCCGGCUAACUUCGUG